AGAGAACUAGAAAAGGUAUGGUACUGUAGAUGACAGGAGAACUAGAAAAGUUAUGGUACUGUAGGAUGACAGGAGAACUAGAAAAGGUAUGGUACUGUAGGAUGACAGGAGAACUAGAAAAGGUAUGGUACUGUAGGAUGACACGGAGAACUAGAAAAGUUA